GCUGACAGAGAAGAGUAGCUGAAGAUGACAGGCAAUAAUCAACAUGGGGUGAAGUCUGAAAAGAAAGGAUCCACCAGUGGGAAACAAUCUCAGAAGGAUUUAGGAUCUUUUGACAGAUCCUGUGCAGUGUUAAAUUUCAGUAAAGAUGGAGAGAACAGUAAUUCUAAAAAUAUGACAGAGGAACAAGAAGAAGGGAACUCUCAGAUGUUUAAACCCGCUCUGGCAAUAACAAUGUGAAACAUCACAAGCACACUUCAGUCACUCAAGAGGGAAGGCCAUCACUGCUGGAUGGUGGAAAUACUGAAUUUCAGAUGGAGAUUACACACGUG